GAAAAAUCUGUGAAACCAUGAAAAUACAUUUUUUAAAAAAAGUUUCCAGGUAUAAUACACAAAAGCAAACAAGUUUAUCUUAAAAAAUACCAAGUAUCACAUCCAUAGCCUAUUCCUAAUUAUAAUUACUUCUUAAAGCAACAUUUGUCUUUGUUUACAAAUACAGCAGCAGGUGAUAAAACCUAGUAUCUCAAACUGAUUGCUUACAAUUUAUAAUACAAACAUAUGUAUAUGUCUCAAAUCACAUUUUAGGCAGUUUAACUUAAAAUGCAUAGACAAUUACAUACAUUAAAUUUGUCAUUACUGUCAGUGAAAAAUCACAAUUUCAAGAAGAAAAUUACAACAAACUCAUAGAGCACACAUAAGAAGUCAAGUUCACUUAAUGGCAACAAGUCAGUAUCUGCUGAUCAGUGACAGGCAGUGAAAGUGCCUUUAUCCAGGGGUAAAGUGAAGAGGCAAACUAUCCUGUUACUUUGCACACUUGAAUUGUUGCGCUGAUCAACACUACAAUCUUGAAAAACAUUAAAUUCUUAAAAAAAAAAAAAGGCAUGCCACAUGUCACCCUUUAAGAUGCCCAAAGGCUGGUUACAAUUUCCACCAGUAGUGAUCCUAACACGUUUAGGUAAAACUAAUAAUGAAUGGGUAUGCUAACAAAUUCUGUAAUGUUACUUAUAGACUAUGAGCCUCUCAAGGACAGGGAUUCCCUUAUAGCUGGCAAAGAACCUGGAUCAAGGACAUAUUGUCUACUGAAUAAAUGACUCAGAUGUUUUCGACAGCCAGAAGCUUGCCUGCCAUUUACAAAAUACUGAUUAUUUUAUUGGCAAUUUCUGUUUUACUUGGCAGAAAUCUGAAAAUAAAAAGUGUUUGUCUUCAAUACUAAAUAUUGCUUUAUUAAAAUCAAAGUCUUCCCUGAACGCCACCUACAACUUUCUAUGCAUAGUACAAUAUAUCAGUGUGAUUUAUCUGAAUUUAGGCUUAUGCUUUUCAAAAACUUGAAUGUCUGUGCUUAAGUUUUAUUUCCAGGCUUUCUAACCUUGGCAUUUGAUAAAGCUAGCUUCUAUCAUUCAGGGUGAGAAAAUUGAGACAUUGGCACUUAUUGUUUAGAAGUGUAGGCAAUUGACUGAUAUUCAACCCAGGCACAGUCUUGACAAAAACUCUGAGUAGAGCUUUUUUCAUCUACAGUUUCAAAAGCUGUAUAUUUGAGAGUACCCCAGGUAGCACUAAUUAUUUGUGAGGUAAUCAUGGGCAAAUUGAUUGGUUUUUUAGAAAAUAUCCCAAUAGUCCAUUGUGGUGGUGGGACUGACUGAGGCAAAAUAUAUACUUUUCUCUGCCCUAUUACUAUUCUCUACUGAAGACAACCAACAGUAAAAUGCACAAAACAGUCAGUCCUUGGGUAAUUAAAAAAUGUAUUGUCUAUUUCUGAAUAAUCAAUAUAUUACUUUACACAAAAUAGGGCUGAGUCAGAGCUGUAAAUGGUGUCUUCAAAAGCAUGAAAAGAUGAGAAAGUGGCAGGAUGGGACAGACAAGCCAAGGUCUUUGAAGUGCUCCACUUGAUUCUUGAGAACCGGGUGUGAAUGACGACCUAAGGUCUAUGUUUUAAUUUUUGUCUUUUUGGUUUCAACAUUUCAAAACCUAAGCUUCCAACUCCAAGAAACAGCAUUCCUGAACACCUCAACUAUUUCCAUUAGAUUUGAAAAUUCUUCCUCUGAAGCCCAAAUGUCAGCAUAUUCUAUAAUCUGUAUCCCCCUCAAGACCAAAUAUACUUGCUAACAAGCAGUCUUUUCCAUAAAUCAGUUUCAGCCUAGCAUGUCUUGUUUUGAAAGCAACAUUGUUCCCUUUUAAAAAGAAAAAAAGGUCAGGUCUACUCCAAAUCUAAGAAUCUGAUUUAAACAUAAG
rnacentral:lncRNA from 10 species